rnacentral:rRNA from 1 species
UAGCGUAUAUUAAAGUUGUUGCAGUUAGAACGCUCGUAGUCGGAUUUCGGGGCGUGCCGACCGGUCUGCCGAUGGGUACGCACUGGUCGGCGUGUCCUUCCUUCCGGAGACCGUCUCACUCUUAACUGAGCGGAGGCGGGAGACGGAACGUUUACUUUGAAAAAAUCAGAGUGUUUCAAGCAGGCAGCUCGCUCUUGCAUGGAUUAGCAUGGGAUAAUGAAAUAGGACUUUGGUGCUAUUUUGUUGGUUUCGAACACCGAAGUAAUGAUGAGAAGGGACAGUCAGGGGCACUCGUAUUCCGCCGAGAGAGGUGAAAUUCUCAGACCAGCGGAAGACGAACCACUGCGAAAGCAUUUG